GAGAAAAAUCGAAGAUUCGUUUCGAUCGAGUCCCUUCUCGCCACUUUUUUUUUCCCUUCCUCUUCUUCUUCCUCCAUUCGCGGAUGGAAGCCGCGUUUUAUCAGGUUACAAUCAUCCUCCUAUCACGUUUUAAACGAGGCUGUGAUCGGUCGAGGGGGGCCGACUCCGAUCCCAUUGGCUCAUUCAUUUUUAAUUGGACGUUGCCGACAAUGGCACCUGCUCCUGUUUCAUGCGGGUACGCACAUGACACGUCACGUGGGGGCCGCCAGAGUUGUCGACUCGGUGUUGCACGUGACACCUCGACUUUCCAGUCGAGUAUGCCAUACGAGAAACAGAGAGAGAGAGAGAGAGAGAGAGAGAGAGAGAGAGAGAGAGAGAGAGAAGUGGGGUCAUCGUGCUUCGAAAAAACGGAAAAAAAAAAAGAAAAAAGGAAGAGAAAGAAAAGGAAAGAAUGAACACAGUGAAACGAAGAGGCGAUGUGACCCGUUUCGUAAUGAAUCGCUAAGCGAUCGACCGGCCGUGCGGGUAAUCGCGACGAUUCUUCACCGAUCCAUUGGCUACCGUCUGACCAUCACGGAAACCUUUAUUUCGGUGUGCUCAAGAAUCGAGGAAUAGUCAGCGUAUAUACGGCGAUAGACGUUGGGGGAGGUGGUGCGCGUGGAUAUCCGAGGAUUCCUCAGGAGCAGGAUCUCGAUUCUUCGACUUCCUUUCCAUGAAUCAAUGGAAAGAAGUGUAAGUGUUCGCGCUGGACAAAAUGAUCGAUCAGAUUCGUGGUUGCGAUGUUCUUAAUUUAUUUAUCGUAAGAUGUACGAUGAUGAAUGCCACUCGUAAAACAAUGGGUCAGCUUUGUUACGCUAAAUUAACUUUGAAAUUGACCACGAGAUCUGAAGUUCACGUAUCAAUUUUGAAUGUUAAGGAAGACUGAUGAACAUUUUUCAGAAUCUAUUUAUAAACAUUUUAAAAACUUCGUGGAAUUCGUUUCGACAUAUUAAAAGUUAUUAACGCAUCGUGUGUUAAUCAAAUUUUUAUAUAUUUCCAUUAUUCUACACAAGAAAAAAUACAUAUCGCACAGGAUGUACACAAAUAAUAGGGUAAUAUAGUCUAUAUAGAUGUAUUUUGCAUAAAAAUUUGCAUUUCUACAUAUCAUUUCUGAAAAUUUUUUACAAUUUAAGGAGAAAAAAUUUGUAAAGAAGCUAAGUACGGAACAGGAUCAAACUUGUGCCUUUCCUAAUCGUCCAGGAGGCAAGGAAUGGUCUGAUGGAUCGCUGAUGGGACUAAGUUGACUACUACCUUGCAAAACUGGUUGGGAUUCCUAUAAAAAUACGUAUGGAUCAAGAUAUACACAAUGUGGUGAAACAUAUAUACAUAAAAUAUACAUACAACACCUAAAAAUACAAACAAUGUACACGUAACAUGUAUAAUACAAUAUGUAACAUAUAAAGAAAUAAAUAUAUGAAUAAAUCUACAUGCAAAGUCUUUUUUAUUUAAAUACAUUGAAAUAUCUUUUAAAGGGAAAGAAUUGUGAAUUAAAGAGAGUAUAGAAAUAUGUUCGACAUAUCGAGAUACAUUAUCAAACUAAAAUAAUCAACAUACUCUCUCUACGAACAAUUCUUCCCUUAAAAGAUAUUUCAAACGUUACCUUUCAUCCCCCACUUUCU